rnacentral:rRNA from 1 species
CCUACGGUAGGCUGCAGUGGGGAAUAUUGCACAAGGGGCGCAAGCCUGAUGCAGCCAUGCCGCGUGUGUGAAGAAGGCCUUCGGGUUGUAAAGCACUUUCAGCGGGGAGGAAGGCGUUAAGGUUAAUAACCUUGUCGAUUGACGUUACCCGCAGAAGAAGCACCGGCUAACUCCGUGCCAGCAGCCGCGGUAAUACGGAGGGGGCAAGCGUUAAUCGGAAUUACUGGGCGUAAAGCGCACGCAGGCGGUCUGUCAAGUCGGAUGUGAAAUCCCCGGGCUCAACCUGGGAACUGCAUUCGAAACUGGCAGGCUAGAGUCUAGUAGAGGGGGGUAGAAUUCCAGGUGUAGCGGUGAAAUGCGUAGAGAUCUGGAGGAAUACCGGUGGCGAAGGCGGCCCCCUGGACAAAGACUGACGCUCAGGUGCGAAAGCGUGGGGAGCAAACAGGAUUAGAUACCCGUGUAGUC